CUUUGAAGAGAGAGUUAAAGAGGACGUGAAACCGAUAAGGUGGAAACGGAUAGAGCCGACGUAUCUAGCUCGUAUUCAGCUGUUGCAGAGCGCAAGGCGGUUUAGCUCGGCCAGGUUUUGGCCAGCUAGAUUGUUUUCUGUGCAAUGUGGCAGUGCAUUUGCGAGUGGAGUGCGCUGAAGCGUACAUUUCAGCGGUUGGAUAUCUGCUUUGAGGUCCCUCGCAAGAGGGAAACCCUGGCGGAAGAAAGACUGUUUGUGAUGUAUUGCUAAAGAAGACGGACUUAACACGGGUCGGUCAGUAGUUGAUUCGUCUGCAGGGAGCGGUUGCUUGCAACUUCCCCUGUGAGUGUUUCGGCUGCUGAUGCAGAUCGGCGUCUUCAUUCUCAGCGUAAAAGUCGGUCAUCUCUCCGACCCGUCUUGAAACACGGACCAAGGAGUUUAGCAAAUAUGCGAGUCAUUGAGUGUUUAAAACUCAAAGGCGAAAUGAAAGUAAAGGUACCUGCAAAGGACUGAUAUGCGAACCAUAGCACUUGUGGCUUUGGCGCAGCAUAGCCCCAUUCUAACUGCUUGCAGUGGGGUGGAGGCAGAGCAUAUUUGCUGAGACCCGAAAGAUGGUGAACUAUGCCUGAGCAGGACGAAGCCAGAGGAAACUCUGGUGGAAGUCCGAAGCGGUUCUGACGUGCAAAUCGAUCGUCUGACUUGGGUAUAGGGGCGAAAGACUAAUCGAACCUUCUAGUAGCUG
rnacentral:rRNA from 1 species